CCUACGGGAGGCAGCAGUGAGGAAUAUUGGUCAAUGGGCGAGAGCCUGAACCAGCCAAGUCGCGUGAGGGAGUACUGCCCUAUGGGUUGUAAACCUCUUUUGUCGGGGAGCAAAAGCCGGACGUGUCCGUCUGUUAGAGUACCCGAAGAAAAAGCAUCGGCUAACUCCUUGCCAGCAGCCGCUGUAAUACGGAGGAUGCGAUCGUUCUCCGGAUUUAUUGGGUUUAAAGGGUGCGCAGGCGGAUUUUUAAGUCCACGGUAAAAUCGUGGGGCUCAACCCCAUCCAGCCGUUGAAACUGGUGAUCGUGAGUGUGCGAGAGGUAUGCGGAAUGCGUGGUGUAGCGGUGAAAUGCAUAGAUAUCACGCAGAACCCAGAUUGCGAAGGCAGCAUACCGGUGCACAACUGACGCUCAGGCACGAAAGCGUGGGUAUCGAACAGGAUUAGAUACCCUGGUAGUC
rnacentral:rRNA from 1 species